UACGGAGGGUGCAAGCGUUAUCCGGAUUCACUGGGUUUAAAGGGAGCGCAGGCGGACUUGUAAGUCAGUGGUGAAAUACCUGAGCUUAACUCGGGAACUGCCUUGAUACUAUAGGUCUUGAAUGUUGUUGAGGUUGCUGGAAGUGGUCGAUGUAGCGGUGAAAUGCAUAGAUAUGACCCGGAACACCUAUUGCGAAGGCAGCAGGCUAAACAAAUAUUGACGCUGAGGCUCGAAAGCGUGGGGAUCAAACAGG
rnacentral:rRNA from 1 species